GCAGCCGCGGUAAUACGUAGGUGACAAGCGUUAUCCGGAUUUACUGGGCGUAAAGGGCGUGUAGGCGGUCUUGCAAGUCAGAAGUGAAAUUCCUGAGCUCAACUCGGGCGCUGCUUCUGAAACUGCAGGACUUGAGUGCUGGAGGGGAUAGCGGAAUUCCUAGUGGAGCGGUAAAAUGCGCAGAUAUUAGGAAGAACACCGGUGGCGAAGGCGGCUAUCUGGACAGUAACUGACGCUGAGGCGCGAAAGCGUGGGGAGCAAACAGGAUUAGAUACCCC
rnacentral:rRNA from 1 species